CCCUCCACCACCACGCCAACCACUCCCCCUCCCUUUUAAGCGUGCUCCUGCGCCGAACCCUAGACCUCCUCCUCCCUCGCGCCGCCGCCCCUCCAUCUCUCUCAAUUUUCUUCUUCUCUGUGAGCCAACAAAACCAACGAACAGCACUGGCACCAUCCUCCUCAUCAUGGCGUCGCCGCUCUAGACCUCCCCUUGCUAAGUUGAGACCACCGGAAGAUCCGCCUCGACAUCCUCUAUCUCCUCCCCAAAGGAAUCGAGCUAGGGUGCCUGGAAUCACCGUCAAUUUCGCCGUUUCUUCCUCCGGCCGGUUGAACUCCGACGAGGAAUCCGGCGCCGUUCGACCUCCCCUAUCCCGUCCGAGCUCAUCAACGCAUUCCUGGCACCCAUCGCCGGCGACACUCCAGCAAGCGCCCGGCGCCCCUUCUCUGCCCGCAGCAGGUCCGCCACGCCAAGGCGCGUCCUCGACGCCAUCUUGCCCAUCCCGUUUCGCCCCAAAACAUCGUCCCCGUGCUAGUCUGCAAGCCCCGCCAUGGCUGUUUCUUCCCUGAGCUCUCGCAUCGGCCUGGUUCAAAAGGUUGUGCACCUUCUAUCAAACAACUUCAGAUGUAUCAGCCCAGAUGAUCUGCCUAGAUCAUCUGCAGAUGGGCAUCAGCCCACUCGCCUGUGAGCUUCUUCGUCGCCCAGAGAGCGGUCGGCUGCUAUCCUUCGCCGUCUCUCCUCAGCAAUUGCUUCUUCCCGGAUAGGAUCACGAAGUGGUGUGGUGAGAUACGACAAGUUCUCCGGAUGUCCCUCGGCAAGCUUUAACAGGCAAGCAUUUCCCCUAUACUUCUGCCCCUGCAGAAGUCGCUCACCUAUUUUAUUUUGCCUUCUCCCUCAUGCUAUCCUUAUGUUGCGUUCUUGUCACGUGUCCCUUCCACUUGUUACCUCAAGCAGCCUAUAUUGCCUCCACCAACCUCCUACAGUUGUUGUUUGGUUUCGGGUCUGCCUUGCGAGUCGUAGUGCAUGCUAGUGCAGUUAUAUCUCGUUACCGUUACCGCUAUCUUAUCGGUUAUCUGUUGGGAAACAUGACACAUGGUUUAUGGAUAUAUAUGUUGAGGGUAUCAUGGUUACUUGUUAAUAGUUGUUAGCGGAGGCAUCGGUGGGUUAGCUGAUCGUUUUGUGACGGCUCACUUGUGUUUCCAUGAAACCUAGGACCCCGAGUUCUUGUUAUCUGUUCCGAGACUGAGCGCUCUAACCACACGUGGGUAUGUUUCUGGGUCUCCCCUCGACCACUGCCGGAAUCUACAGCUUUGUCCAGUGGCCACAACUAGUUUGCAAUGUUUUACCAUUUGUUGUUUGCGUGCAUGCCAGCUUGUUACUUCUUUAUUUUGGGAAGCCCCUGGGUGCCUUGUAUCCCUUGUUUCUGGUAUGCACGUAUAGGUCGCGGAGCCGCUGCGAAGUGGUUUAUCGCCCCAGUGUGUGUUUAAACCACCUAGUACGCUGUCGCAAACAGCUAGGUCCGCUUCGGAGAUACGGCCGGACUUCGAUACGGGUUCAACUUAGUUAGGUGGCUUCCUGGACAUUGUUGUCGUGAAGGAGAGUGCGAGUCGUGAUAUCCACCUGUCGCAAGUGGGUUGAUCGUGCGUGUGGGCACAUUUGGGCACCCCUGCAGGGUAAAAUCUUAUCGAUAAGCCGCGUCCGCGGUUAUGGACGACUUGGAGCUGUAUGACUCGACCAUAGACAACUUACACUUGUUGUUUAUUAAUAAUAACUUGCGUAGUAAGUUAGUACAACUUCAAUAAUAAAUGGGUAAAACUUGACAACCGUGUGAGUGCCCUUGUAAGUACUUCCUUGCGAGGGGGGAACGCAUCGGCUGUGUUAUGUUUGCAGAGUGUAGAACUGUUAGCUAUGCGCUCUCUCACCUUCUCUGUUUAGACGAAUGUUGUAGAGUGUCUCUAUAGGUUUUUAGUGCUUGCGCGCUGCCGCUUACCCCACCAUAUUGCCUAUGACGUUCCUCUUGCGUCCUCUAAGUCCCCUGCGUGCCUCAAGUACAAAGGACGACUGGUUGACGAAUGCUUAUACGUCUUGAAGUCUUGUUAAGUACGAACCCGUACUUAUUGCUGCUUCUACGGGAUAUAACCGGGCAGGUAUGAAGAUCGGUAUGAUGAAGAACGACGCUAGCAAGGUUACCCUUCCGGCUUGGCCUGGGCAGGGUUAUGGACGUCACUGGUUAUCUUCAGGACUCUUAGUCCAAAUUUGUAUCUUGUCCGUACUCGGAUGUAUUUGAUCUUCUGUAUGAUUUGGAUCUUUGUAUGUAUCUAUUUGUACCUUGACUCGUUGGAGUCGUUGUUGUAAUAUAUAUGUUUCUUGUGGGCUCUAUUGUAAUCCUGUUGUAAUGUUGCCUCUCGUGAUUGAUUCCACCCGCAUCGCGUGCAUGCUUCGGCGUGUACGAGGCGCUUGGUGGUGCGUCUCCUAAAAUCGAUAUCGUGCGGAUUUCGGCGGAUUCGCUGGGAUCCUCAUGGUACCGGUUUUGGGGCGUCACAAGUUGGUAUCAGAGCCUCAGGUUGACGAUACCCCACUAGUCCAGCCUGUAGGAUAACUUUGCCAACGGUCGUUGAGUUUAGAGAGUCCAAACUAUUUUCUAAAAUUCGUUGGAUAGUUCUGACUAGCUCUGAUUUUCUCCUUACCUGAAU